UGGCCGUCCAAGCAGCAAGCCUGGUGUGUAGGCAAAUCCGCACACCGCCAAGGGCAAGCUGUGAUGGCGAGGGAAAUAUAAGUACCGAAGUCCCUGAUUUCACACUGCCAAGAAAAGCGUCUAGCGAGGAAUGAGGUGCCCGUACCGCAAACCGAUGUGGCUAGCGGUGAAAUUCCAAUCGAACUCGGAGAUAGCUGGUUCUCCCCGAAAUAGCUUUAGGGCUAGCCUCGGAAUGAGAGUCUUGGAGGUAGAGCACUGAUUGGGCUAGGGGCCCUCAUCGGGUUACCGAACUCAGUCAAACUCCGAAUGC
rnacentral:rRNA from 1 species